rnacentral:rRNA from 1 species
GAUGAACGCUGGCGGCGUGCCUAAUACAUGCAAGUCGAGCGAACAGACGAGGAGCUUGCUCCUCUGACGUUAGCGGCGGACGGGUGAGUAACACGUGGAUAACCUACCUAUAAGACUGGGAUAACUUCGGGAAACCGGAGCUAAUACCGGAUAAUAUAUUGAACCGCAUGGUGCAAUAGUGAAAGACGGUUUUGCUGUCACUUAUAGAUGGAUCCGCGCUGGAUUGGCGAGUUGGUAAGGUAACGGCUUACCAAGGCUACGAUGCGUAGCCGAGGUGAGGGGGUGGUCGGCGACAUUGGAGCGUGGACGGGGUCAAGGGGACUGCGGGAGGCAGCAGUGGGGAAUGGUGGGCAGUGGUGGCAAGCAUGACACAGCGGGACGGCGUGAGUGAAGAAGGCUCUGGGGUCGUAAAGCCGUGUUGUGGGUAAAAAAAAGCAGUAGCCUGUGACGAAGAGGGCGUGACGGUAACGAAUAAAGAAGCACCGGCUAACUACGUG